UACGAAGGGGGGCUAGCGUUGUUCGGAAUUACUGGGCGUAAAGCGCACGUAGGCGGAUAUUUAAGUUAGGGGUGAAAUCCCAGGGCUCAACCCUGGAACUGCCUCUAAUACUGGGUAUCUAGAGUCCGAGAGAGGUGAGUGGAAUUCCGAGUGUAGAGGUGAAAUUCGUAGAUAUUCGGAGGAACACCAGUGGCGAAGGCGGCUCACUGGCUCGGUACUGACGCUGAGGUGCGAAAGCGUGGGGAGCAAACAGG
rnacentral:rRNA from 1 species